AUAACGUAGCGAAAGUUACGCUAAUACCGCAUACGAUCUAAGGAUGAAAGUGGGGGAUCGCAAGACCUCAUGCUCCUGGAGCGGCCGAUAUCUGAUUAGCUAGUUGGUGAGGUAAAGGCUCACCAAGGCGACGAUCAGUAGCUGGUCUGAGAGGACGACCAGCCACACUGGAACUGAGACACGGUCCAGACUCCUACGGGAGGCAGCAGUGGGGAAUUUUGGACAAUGGGCGCAAGCCUGAUCCAGCAAUGCCGCGUGAGUGAAGAAGGCCUUCGGGUUGUAAAGCUCUUUUGUCAGGGAAGAAACGGUAGAGGCUAAUAUCCUUUGCUAAUGACGGUACCUGAAGAAUAAGCACCGGCUAACUACGUGCCAGCAGCCGCGGUAAUACGUAGGGUGCAAGCGUUAAUCGGAAUUACUGGGCGUAAAGCGUGCGCAGGCGGUUUUGUAAGUCUGUCGUGAAAGCCCCGGGCUCAACCUGGGAAUUGCGAUGGAGACUGCAAGGCUUGAAUCUGGCAGAGGGGGGUAGAAUUCCACGUGUAGCAGUGAAAUGCGUAGAGAUGUGGAGGAACACCGAUGGCGAAGGCAGCCCCCUGGGUCAAGAUUGACGCUCAUGCACGAAAGCGUGGGGAGCAAACAGGAUUAGAUACCCUGGUAGUCCACGCCCUAAACGAUGUCUACUAGUUGUCGGGUUUUAAUUAACUUGGUAACGCAGCUAACGCGUGAAGUAGACCGCCUGGGGAGUACGGUCGCAAGAUUAAAACUCAAAGGAAUUGACGGGGACCCGCACAAGCGGUGGAUGAUGUGGAUUAAUUCGAUGCAACGCGAAAAACCUUACCUACCCUUGACAUGUCAGGAAGU
rnacentral:rRNA from 1 species